rnacentral:rRNA from 1 species
CAUUCGGAUUGUAGUCUGCAACUCGACUACAUGAAGCUGGAAUCGCUAGUAAUCGCGAAUCAGCAUGUCGCGGUGAAUACGUUCCCGGGUCUUGUACACACCGCCCGUCACACCAUGAGAGUUGGCAAUACCCAACGUACGUGAUCUAACCCGCAAGGGAGGAAGCGUCCUAAGGUAGGGUCAGCGAUUGGGGUGAAGUCGUAACAAGGUAAC